UUCAGUUACAACCCCCCUGAGACCUGAGGAAGGGAGGGGCAUUAGAGGUUGAAUCCACAGCCGGUGACCAAUGAUUUAAUCAACCACACCUAUGUAAUGAAACCUCCAUAAACACCCAAAGAGACCAGGUUUAGAGAAUUUCCAGGCUGGUAAACAUCGGAGAUGUGGAGAGAGCGGUGCACCUGGAGAGGGCAUGACAGAUCCGUACCCUUUCCCCAUGCUUUGCCCUAUGCAUCUCUUCUACCUGGCUGUUCCUGAGUUAUACUCUUUUAUAACACACUGGUCAUCUAGUGAAGCCCACCCAGUUUUCCUAUUGGUACAGAUCCUAGAUCCCUCAGGCACUGGACUAGAGUGGAAGAACAAUCAAAUAUCUUCCCAUCUUCGGUGUAGGUUGCUCUGUCUAAUGAACCAAAGCAUGGGUGCUGGGAAGAAGAAAUGGGGCAAAAUGGGCAUAGUUGGGGGUUACCUGACAGCUGUGUUACAUCUUCUAAAGUCUAUCAUAUGGUAAGUGAUCAACUGUGCCUCAUCAAGAGCACAGAGAUAUAGAAUUUAUUGAUUACUGUAGGAUGACUUAUUAUCUGGACUUGAAGUAUAUUACCAAGUAGCAGAUAGUUGCUGAAAAGGUACAAAAUCGUAAGACAUAAAAAGAAUUCAGUGUUUCCUGUCAGAUUCUUUAGGACUUCACUGAGAGCUUCCAGUGUACUUGUUCAAUUCAAUUCUGCAAAAAAGUAUUGCCCAUUUCAUGCCAGACACUGUGCUGGAAAAGCAGAGAUAAAUAGGGCAUCCUGUCUGUCCUCCACAUGCUCAAAGUCUGAGGGAGGAGGACAGAGUUAUCAAUGACUAUA